GGAAUUCCCCCUAGCUACUAAUAGGGCAAAGAUCUAGAAAGUUCUUUUUCCAACCCAACUAACAGACUGAGAGAUUACAAACCACAGUGAGAAUAUACAGCGGAUUGACAAAAGGAUAUUGAAGACUGAGAAGAAGGUGAAGGCUGAGGAGAAGGUAAAGGCUGAGAAGAAGGCUAAAGAGAGAAGGUAAACGCUGAGGAGGAGGCUAAAGAGAAAGGAAAAUUCAGCGUUACUGGACGAGCAAUACCAGAGCUGAUGGAGUGUAAGGUCAGAACCCUGAUGACAGAUGCAGCUGUGGAUGCUGGAGAACUUCACCCAGGGUUUCCUUGAUGACAGAGACCAAAUGAUGACCAUAGGACCUAGAGAGAUGUCAUCACCUGUGCUUCCGGAGGCUCAGUACACACGCACCUCUCCCAUCCCUCCAACCUCCAGUGCCGACGCAGAGGAGCCUCCAGAUCCCAACCACAUAGAGGAAGUGACUGGAUCAUUGCUUCCUCUGUGCUGCUGGGUUUGGAAGCUCUUCAACUCACUGUUGGUCUCCCUCUGAGCAAAAGACAGUCAAGACGAGACAUCAACAAUCAGUUUCAUAGAUGAUGUAGAAACAUGUGAUAUAAGCUUCAAUAAAUCAA